rnacentral:tRNA from 1 species
UUUUCUGGUAGCUUAAUUGGUAGAGCAUGUGGCUGUUAACUACGAGGUUGUAGGUUCAAUUCCUAUCCAGAAAGU